UAAAUUGCCAAGGUUUAUUCUAAAUUAGUCCACAAGAACAAAACUUAAUUUUUAACCCCAUGCAGUAUAGUCAGUGAUGUAAUAAUUCUAUCCUGCAAUGAGGAGUUCCUGAAAUAAACUAGUUACAUUUACAUUUGCAGUGACAUCAGUGUUUAAAGGUAAUCAGGAAAGCAAUCAACACUGGAGAAGUUGGAAGUUGUCAUGUGCAGAGUGCUGAAGAUGAGGUUUGAUAGAUUCUCAGCUCCACAAUCUGGAAAAUGGAUAUCUUAAGUCCAUGUUGAAGUACAGACAGUCAAUCAGGCUGUGUUCAGAUCAGUAUUCUGUGGCUGAUCUGUGCCCAAAUUCUUUGUGCAUUUUUAAUGAGUUACUGCAAAAAUCUGUGAUCAAAGGAGAAAGUGGGAGAUUGCAUAAGUCUUUGUAG
rnacentral:lncRNA from 1 species